rnacentral:snRNA from 1 species
UUCACUUCUCUGCCUUUUGGCUAAGAUCAAGUGUAGUAUUUGCUCUUAUUAUUUUAAUACCUGAUAUGUCCUCUAUAUGAAGACUAUAUAUUAAAUAGACAAACUGGCUCGUGUGAACAUUUGGGUUGUGACUCCUAACCUAACCUGGCUUUAACACACACUUUGCCGGUCAGAUUUCUC